AGGUAGCCUAGUGGUUAGAGUGUUGGCCCAGUAACCAGCAGGUAGCCUAGUGGUUAGAGUGAUGGCCCAGUAACCAGCAGGUAGCCUAGUGGUUAGAGUGUUGGACUAGUAACCAGCAGGUAGCCUAGUGGUUAGAGCGUUGGCCCAGUAACCAGCAGGUAGCCUAGUGGUUAGAGUGUUGGACUAGUAACCAGCAGGUAUCCUAGUGGUUAGUGUUGGCCCAGUAACCAGCAGGUAGCCUAGUGGUUAGUGUUGGACCAGUAACCAGCAGGUAGCCUAGUGGUUAGUGUUGGACCAGUAACCAGCAGGUAGCCUAGUGGUUAGUGUUGGCCCAGUAACCAGCAGGUAGCCUAGUGGUUAGUGUUGGACCAGUAAC
ensembl:lncRNA